UACGUAGGGGGCAAGCGUUGUCCGGAAUCAUUGGGCGUAAAGAGCGUGUAGGCGGCCCGGUAAGUCCGCUGUGAAAGUCCAGGGCUCAACCCUGGGAUGCCGGUGGAUACUGUCGGGCUCGAGUCCGGAAGAGGCGAGUGGAAUUCCUGGUGUAGCGGUGAAAUGCGCAGAUAUCAGGAGGAACACCAAUAGCGAAGGCAGCUCGCUGGGACGGUACUGACGCUGAGACGCGAAAGCGUGGGGAGCAAACAGG
rnacentral:rRNA from 1 species